AGGGCCUUCUGCCAAGGGCCCGCUUUGAUCUCCCUUAAAGGACAGCAUUAUCUGACCAGAGACCCAUGCAGGAGACCUCUCCAGGUACACAUAUUUCCUGCUACUGAAUGGCUUAGACUGGGAUUUGCAAGGAACUACGAAGUCCAAGACCUUUGCCUUUCUUUUAGAAGAAGGCACCAGCUGGUUCUCCAAUGUUGAAGGUCUUCUCCAGAGAUACCUUAAGGUGUGGGGAGAUUACAACUUGCUCAAGGUCUCAUAGCUAGAAGAUGUCAGAGUGAUAACUCAAACCAUGUCACAUGACUCUAAGCCCAAAGCAGCCUCUAGAAGGUUGUUUGAUCUUCUGAUGGAAGCACAAAUCACCAUUCCAACAUGAAAGAUGGAGAAACUUAAGUCUAGAGAGAUUUAAAGGACUUGUCAAAGGCAAUGAAACAAGUGAUGAGGAAACUGAGGCCCAGAGAGGAUAAAUGACUUGCUCAAGGUUAGCCAGUUGGUCAAUGGCAAAGAUUAAACCAGAACCCAGAUCUCCUCUCUCCAGCCAGAGUCUUCAAGCAAAGUCCCUAGGAGGAACUCUGAAAGCCACAUGUUGAGAUGGCCCCAUUACAGGAUGGAGAGCACCUGAACCCCCAAGUUAUGGACUAGAAGAAGACAGUUGCCCUGGAAAAUCAUCUGACCCACAUUGGACUUUAUGUGAGGGGGAAAUAAACCUUUAUUAUGUUAAGCUACACAAUAAUAAAUAACAACAAUAA
rnacentral:lncRNA from 1 species